AUCUGAUGAUGAGGGCAUCUGGCAUACAACCGCUUGAAUCUCUCCCAAUACUCAUAUAAUGACUCCCCAGUCUAUUGGCGAAUGCCACAGAUUUCCUUCCUUAUACU